GCAAGAUUCCCUUUCAUCUCCCAACGGCAGUUUGGGGCUGCACGUGUCCGCCGAAUCCAAGGGCAAAGGGCCUGCGGUGAGGAGCCCACAUUUUAUGGUGAUGAGGAUCAAACGGAAUGAGAUAUGUGGACAUGCCUUGGAAACUGUACAAUGUCAGCUCUCCGUCUUCUCACCUGCCUCCCGGGCCCUCCUGCGCUGAGUGGAAAGCAGCCGCUCCUGGCAGCGCCCAGGGGGCUGCAGUCAGCAUCUCACAGAGGAAACCAGUCUGCCCCUGACUUUCUCUGUGUGAUACAAGGGCCAUUUUGUUGAAGACCGUGUUCUGCUGACUCCUAAGAAGCGCCUCUCCCCCCGACACGGAGCCCGGGACCGGGUCUUCCUCCGGAGCAGAGAGCCGGACCCCGCGCUGCCUCCUCCCAGCCCCUCGGGUGCAGACGGGACUCCCGCCGGAUACGGGUCCUUGGAGUAAACGGGAGAGAAAUUCCACUUUGGCUCCAGCGAUCCGGCCCACAAAGGAGCCAGGGAAAAAGCUGAGCGAGAAGAGCGACCGCAAGCCCCCUUGCCGGAUUCCGGCAGACGCCACGGGGAGAAUCGGGAACAGAAAAACCUGGGCCAGAGAAGAAAGGGCCUUCGCGGGGCUGUGCAGACACAACGCAGGAACACGUCCAGCCAGCGCAAGGCAAGGCCGGCUGCGCUGCCUUAGAACUCAGAGGAGAAGGCGCUCACCGCCGGCCGGGGCGGGCAGGGGAGGCAGCCUUGACCUCAGCCCUGAAGACCCGGCGCUCCUGGCCUCCUUCCCCGCCUCGGCAUCACCUGCUGCUGGAUUUCACCUUAAUAAUAGCUGGUAGCACAUACUGAGCACUUACAAUGUCGGGCUUUAUGAGCAUUUUCUCGUUAGUCUUCACAGAAAAUUAGAGUGUAUCCCCAGAGCCUAGAAAAAGAGUCUUUCACAGAAUGGGGGCUCGAAACAUAUUGAAUGAAUGAAGGAAUGAGGAGGAGGAGCAAAAGUGAGUUAGGCGUUACUAUUCACAUUUUCCAGGUCAAGAAUGUAAGGUUCAGAGAAGUGAAGUCUUGGACAGGUAUGUUAUCUCCAUUCCACAACUUUCCAGCUUUCUUUUCCUGUCUCACCACUUACCGCAAUGUGCAAUUAUUUCAUUUCCUUCUUG
rnacentral:lncRNA from 1 species